UUAAAUGUGGUGUAGGUGUAGCAUAUUCAACUGGAAAUCAGAAGGUCGUAGGUUCAAACCCUGGCACUUAAA
rnacentral:tRNA from 1 species